UACUACAAUUUGAUUAGAACAAAGGGCAUUAGGUGGAUUGCAACUGUAGGGGUAAUGUGUAUUUACUGGAAAGUAUAGACAUGCGGUAGGAAUGAGUGAGUGCAGUCAGUAUUUUUAUUAAUUGGACCUAUUUGAUGGCACGUAGGAUCUAUUUGAUGGCAUGCAUGAAGGACUUGACAGGAAGCUAUCAUUCAUAGCUUUGAAUAUUAAGGUUUUUUUUUCCUAUUUUGCUUAUUUUAUUUUUUAAAGAUUUAUUUUUAUUUAUUUGAAAGGCAGAAUUACAGAGAGAGUGGGAGAGACGAAGAAAGAUGGAGGUCUUCCAUCUGGUGUUUCACUCUCUAAAUGCUUGCAGUGGCCUGGGCUGGGCCAGGUUGAAGCCAGGAGCCGAGAACUCCAUUUUGGACUCCCACUUAUGUGAUGAGGACCCAUGCACUUGGAUCAUCCUCUGUUGUCUUCCCAGGCAACUUAGCAGAAAGCUUCACAUGUGAGAUAAAUGCACUCAAAGAUUCCUCACAAGUAGCUCUUUGGAGCUUCAGAUGUGAAAUGGAUCAUUCCUCAAUCUGUAAUAGACCCUUCUGCGAAGCUCUUCAAUCAAACCUGAGCAUUUAAGAGGUAAUGAGUGAAUGAAUGAAGAGGAUUACUCGCUGUUCUUUGGGGAGGUUGUCAGAACAUUUCUGCUUGACUGAAGUUGUUGGGAAGGACAGCCAAGCAACACUGAAAUGAAAAUGACAAAAAUAUCAAAAUAUGAAGACCGUUUGUUUUGUCCUGCCAGAUGACAUGACACAGAUUUUGGUGAGUUGCUUCACUUGAUCCUCACAGUACUUUAUAAGGCAAGGAUUCUUCUUGCACCUUCCCUGCUUUCCUCCUACUUUCCAGAUGAAGCAGCAAAGAACUGCACAUUUGAUUAAAUUACCUAAGGGUGGACACACAACUUGCACCUGCCAGGCUGAUCCCAGAGCUGGAGAUUUCACCCAUUAUACUUCACUGCCUCCUAGGGGAUGGGGCCAGAGAAAUCAUGUUUAAUUGGGGAGGGGUCAAAAGCCAUUCUCUUGGAAAGGUACACAUGAUCCGAGUUCUAAAGGACAGGCAGGUAGUGUGACAGGGAGGAAAUGCCACUUUGAGAACUAUUGUGUGUGGGAGGAGCUUAGGCUUGAAUUCCACAAACCUGGUGGGGCAUUGGGAAUAAGCAGGGGGUACAGUUGGGAGGUGGGCCGUUGGGGACUGAAAAACAGAGGAAAGCUGGGGAAUCUGGUCUAAGUAUAGUAGGAGCAGAGUAUAAAGCAGAGUUAAAGAUUUGUAAUAAAAGCUAAGAGUGUUGAUGAAGGAUAAUCAUUAUGAAGAAAGUUUCAACUAGCAGAGACUUCUAAGAUGAAUGGGAUUGAAAAGUGUUUUUAAUUUUUAUUUUUAAAUAAAGAGAGAGGGAGGGAGAGGGGAAGAAAGAGAGACAGGGAGAAAGAGAGAGAGAGAGAGAGAGUGAGAGAGAGAGAGAGUGAUCUGUCUGCUGGUUCACUCCCAAUGCCUGCAACAGUUGGGGUUGGGACAAAGUGGAACCAGGAGCCAUGAACUCAACCCAGGUCUGCCACAUUGGUGUCAAGGAACCAAAUGCUUGAGUCUUCAAAUGUUUUGCAUUUCCCUGGGAGGCAUUAACAGGAAACUGGAAUCAGAAUUUGAGCCAGGACUUGAAUCCAAACACUGUGAUGAUGAACUGGAUUUUAAGUCAGAGUUUGACAUUUGUGGAAAUGGCAUCGACUAGCAUGCAAACAACUUAGAAUACUGAAAUUUAUAUAAGAGAAAAGAAUACAAACAAAUGAGGAAUGUUAAAAAUGCUAAAAAAAAAAUCCACCUGGGAACAUACGGUUGAAGGAAUAAAUUUUUAGUCUUAAAGACCUUAUAGUGCUCUGGUUGUCUGCCUUAGUUAAUAGCCCACCAUCCACAACACUAUUCAAGUCAAAUAACAGUUGUUUCUGAUCCCAUUUCCCCUUCCCACUCUGUUUUGCUUCAAUUCUUCAUUAGGCUCCCCAGAAAGCCGAUGCUCUGCUGUUUGAAAGCCUCAAUCAGAUCAAGUCACUUCCUUGUUUAAUAUCCUCCAAGGGCUGCCCAGUGCAUUUAGAGUAAAUUUCUACCUCCAAGUCUCUCAAAUUUCCAGCCUUACCUCAGUUGGCUCUUUCAUUAUGAUGUAGCCUUCCUGCCUCUUUUCUGUUCCUUGGGUUCAUAUUAGGGCAUUUUUAUUAAUUUUUUUUAAAAUCUGGCCUUUUCCAGCAUAAAGCAGCUCAAAUAUCUUAGCCUUAGACAGUCCAUCUCUGAAAAAUCAGCCAGAAGUGUCUUCCUCAAUUGUUAAGAGAAAGAUCACUGUCUUCAUAUUUAAAAUAACAUUUUAAAAUAAGUCUUUAUCCUUGUAGCCAAUAUUUUCUGCAAAGUUCUUAUAAUUUUAUGAAAGUAUUAAAAAUAAUACAUAUUUGUUCUAUUUUUUGUCUCUGGAAGAAUUUUGGCUCUAAAGAAUGGGAUUAGCACUGGCUUGCUCAGUGCUUCAAACUCAGUGCCCAGCAAAGUGCUUCAAACAUAGUAGAUGCUCAAUGAAUAUUUGAAUGGAAGAAGACAAUUAGAAAGAAUAAAGGUGAGGACAGCUUGAGUAAUGAGUAGAAGCUUACAUUUCAUCUAAUGAGUGAUAUAUUUGCAGAAUAAAUCACGUGGCUAUAUUUUCUAAAUAGGUUUUGUUUCUACAGUUAACUAAGUUGUUGACUUCUCGCAUACCAGCUUUUGAUGGUGGGAAGGUGGACUUGAGUGUUGCAGGGGGUGAAACAAGGCUGAGAUUCAAAUGAGUAGAAAAUUGUCUCAGUUAAUCCAUGAGAUGCGGGCAAGCUCAGCCGGCAUGCUCUUUGGAAUCCAGGCUAUUCUGUGACAGCAACAUUAGGGUACAAGUGUUGGAGAGGUCAGACAAGUUGAGUUUCUGACAUGAGCAAUCACUCUAGAUGUGUUUGAUUUUUCUACAGUAUUUCAUGGUGACAUUUAAAUUUGAAAGGGAAAUGACCUCCUUGUUUCCAGUUCCUUUCCUAGCUAGUAUAGGAUUGCUCCUUCAACAAAUAUUAGUAGAUUUUCUUGAGUAUAGUUCUCAAGUAUCUUAACAGAUGAAGUUUACAAGUUUAUUUUCUGGUAGCAAUAGUGAUCUCAAGACGAGGAAGAGGUUGUUGGAGCUAUUUGUUUUUACUUUCUGAGAGGAAUACCUUACUGACAAACAAGCAUGUGAAUAAGCAAGCAAAUUCCACAGCUUUCUUGGAAGGAAUUGGCCACGGUAGGUAUGGGAGAAUUGUUUCGGCCUGCCUUCCCUUUCCUUUGCUUUUCUUGCACUUGUGUUGGCACAGUUGCUGGAUUUUAUUAUUAGUGGUGUGUCCUACAAGCCAUUCAUUCAUGGAAUAUGGCUCUGGGAGAGGAAUGUUAAUGUGAAAAUAAAAUUGUCAUUGUUUUCCAUUGGCUUAGGAGACAUAUCACAUAAUGGAAGGAUAUCCCCAGAUAGGAAAAUCUCAAUUCAGAGAGAAAGAGGGGAAAAAAAGGUGAGGUGAGAAUGAUGCUCUCAGUGGAAUCGGUCAGAACUGAAAAGCAAAGAUUUUGUUUUGUGCAGUGCUAGUUGCCUUGCCAGUCUCAAGCUGGCACUGUGGGCUUGCUGUAGCUGCUGAGCCUGAGCUGGGGAAAGGAGACAGUUUGCUUCGGUUUUAUUGCCCAGCGUCACCAUGCGUCUCAAUAUGUUUUUGAUUUUGUAUUUUAAAAAUAAGGUGAAUGGUCUCAAAAGGAAAUCAUUGCAGCCGAUUUUAUUUUUUGCUUUUUUAAUGGACAAUUCAAAAGCAAUCCUGGUCCCAUUCCAGAGAUUUUCUCAUUUCUUGGUACAACUGUAAUUUAGGCACAUUGAAUGGUGUAAUGGUGUUGUUAGAUAUUAUCGUGUUUAUUUUAUUCAUGACAAUGUGUGACACACCUUAUUUUUAUUCUUCUUGAGGAAAUGUCCUGGAAUGGGUUUUGUCCUGCUUCCUUUUUGUGCCUGUCAUGAGGUGUGUGUUAGAAUUUACAUUCCUAGGAAUAAGAAUAGCAUUUCUUUUUUUCUUUUUUGGGAGGGCAUAAUGAUUGUGAGCUUUGAGGAGUUUCAAUAGACUAUUGUCGCUUGUUUUACAGUGCUGCGGUCCACCAAGUCACAUGCUUCCUACCUCCAAUGGCAGAAAUAUAUCCAUGUAUGUGUGUGUGUCUGUGUGAGUCUCUCUCUCUGUGUGUGUGUAUAUAUAUAUAUAUUUCAAAUUAAAAUAAACCAUAAUUAAUUUUGUGCUGAAAAAUUCUUGGAGUUUUGGUUUUCAUGAUCUGUGAGGUCAUGGGAGAUAUAUCCCAGGCUCUCAUAAAACCUGGUCUGGGAAUCAUUGUGAUUAGCACUAUGUGAGACUUCAAAAAAUAUUAAAACUAGGAAAGAUUGUCUAAUUUCUGGUGGGUGGAUUCACUUUAGUAUAAUGUAAUGUGUUAACAAAUGCUCAGAGAGGCGGUUGUGGAUCCAGAAAGAUGGUUUUUGCAGAAGGCUCUUAUCCAAAUUAAUUCAAAGAAUAACAGGAACAGUUGUGUAUUAGGACAGAAGGAAUAAGGUGACUCAAUUUGAUGACAAAGAGGUCUCCAGGAAAAAAUUGUCUUAAGUCAACUCAGAUCUAACAAUGAAAUUGUCAUCACUGAAACUAAUAAUCCUGUAAUAAAUUGCUAAUAACUUUAAAAAAGGAUUGUUUUAUUAAGCAUUUUGCAUAAUUGGCUAUGAACCAAACAUGGAAAGCAAAUAUUGGUUUUCUUUAGUUUAAGAUUGAUAAAGUUCUCUUCUGUGUUUGAAAAGAGAAUCUUAAAUAGGUAAGAAGGAUAAAAAGGGUAAGUUGCAAACCUGCUGAAUGUGUGCCUGAAGCCUCCUCUCAAGCUAAUUCAUUUUUGGCUCUUGCUUGAUUGCUCUAGAUAUGGUGACACACUGGGAAAUUAAUGUCAUGUCCUCCCAGGUUGCUGGAACAUUUGCCCAAGGCAGCAGUGAAUAAGCAAGGGUAGACAGACCAAGCUCAAAGGUUUGGACCCUGCUCAGCAGGGUGUCUUUGGAGUUGUUUCUCCACACUACCUGAAGAACUUUGUGUAGCUGGCUGUUGAUACUGCUAGCCUGAUGCCAUUACAUGCAUCCUGGAAAUCGAUUUGGUCCCUGUCCACAUUCAGAAUUGGGCUCAAUACAUGAGAAGUCCCGUAGUGAGGGAGUUCAGGAAUCAUCAAUUUGAUGUUCAAACCUAGAUUUGUUUUGUGGCUUUCUGAGGUAGGUUUAAGAAAUUUUUGCAGUGUUCACAAAAUGCAGUUCACAGAUCUACAACUGUAUGUGCAGUUGGAAAGGAAAUUUGAGUAAGUAAACAGGUAACCAGGGAGAAGUUAGACUAUCCUGCAGACACUUCUGUUUUCCAGGAUGAGCUUCUUUGAGCAGGGAUGUCUGGUUUGCACUUCAGGAGUUUUUUGCCAGGUGGUCUGAAGGGUAAUUUACGUUCCAAAAGAUAGGCUAAGCUGCCUUCCUGCUUCUGAAAGGUCUGGAAGGCACUCUCAUAAAAUCAGCAUUUCCCCAGUCCUUUCAGGGGAGAUGAUUCCCCCAUCACCUGGCUGUUACAGGUGGUACCUAUAAUAUAGUGAAUAAUAG